rnacentral:rRNA from 1 species
AAUCAGUAGUUUUUUAAUUGGGAACUGGAAUGAAUGAUUUGACGAAAUACUGACUGUGUCAUUAUGAAACAUUGAAUUUAACUUUUUAGUUAAAAGGCUUAAAUGAUGGUAGAGGACGAGAAGACCCUAUAGAACUUGAUUAAUUUAAGAUAUCAUGAGGUUUGGUUUGGAAUUUUAUGUUGUUUUAUAUUAAUUUCGUUGGGGUGAUGAUUAGAUAAUAAGUAACUCUAUAUGUAAAACUAGUAAUAUAAAUAAGUAGAUUUUAUGAUUUUGUAAUAUGAAUAAUAAGAGAAGUUACCUUAGGGAUAACAGCGUUAUUUUUCUUGAGAGUUCUAAUCGAUAGGAGAGUUUGCGACCUCGAUGUUGGAUUAAGAUAAUUUUUGGGUGUAGAAGCUUAUAAUGUGGGUCUGUUCGACCAUUAAAUU